rnacentral:rRNA from 1 species
GACGAACGCUGGCGGCGUGCUUAACACAUGCAAGUCGAACGGAAAGGCCCUGCUUUUGUGGGGUGCUCGAGUGGCGAACGGGUGAGUAACACGUGAGUAACCUGCCCUUGACUUUGGGAUAACUUCAGGAAACUGGGGCUAAUACCGGAUAGGAGCUCCUGCUGCAUGGUGGGGGUUGGAAAGUUUCGGCGGUUGGGGAUGGACUGGCGGCUUAUCAGCUUGUUGGUGGGGUAGUGGCUUACCAAGGCUUUGACGGGUAGCCGGCCUGAGCGGGUGACCGGCCACACUGGGCCUGGGAUACGGCCCAGCCUCCUACGGGAGGCAGCAGUGGGGAAUAUUGCACAAUGGGCGGAAGCCUGAUGCAGCAACGCCGCGUGCGGGAUGACGGCCUUCGGGUUGUAAACCGCUUUCGCCUGUGACGAAGCGUGAGUGACGGUAAUGGGUAAAGAAGCACCGGCUAACUACGUG